UAUGAGCGCUGGCGGCGUGCUUAACACAUGCAGGUCGAACGAAGCACCUUGACUUCUUCGGAAUGAUUGGUGACUGAGUGGCGGACGGGUGAGUAACGCGUGGGUAACCUGCCUCACACAGGGGGAUAACAGUUAGAAAUGACUGCUAAUACCGCAUAAGACCACAGUACCGCAUGGUACAGUGAUAAAAACUCCGGUGGUGUGAGAUGGACCCGCGUCUGACUAGCUAGUUGGUGAGGUAACGGCUCACCAAGGCGACGAUCAGUAGCCGACCUGAGAGGGUGAUCGGCCACACUGGGACUGAGACACGGCCCAG
rnacentral:rRNA from 1 species